rnacentral:rRNA from 1 species
AUGGUGAACAGAUUGUUGAAGAAAUCGAUCGGCAAAACGGCUGGACAAGCAAACGGGCUAAAUUUUUUUGCUGAGCUCGUUGAUCUGAACAUUUUUUCGAAGGUUGGAUAUGUGCCAUCACAAUUGGCUGCGCAGAUGGUAGAUGAUAAUUGGGCUACACAGAGGCCAUUGAUUCCCAUGUGUACUGAACUUACAGUAAUAGCCGAAGAGGGACAGGUGACAGGAACUGAAACUGAAACUGCAGCAACUGUUGAUUGGAAUGUAGUUGAAUUAGAUGAGCCUACUGAUUUGGUCAUUGCACCAAUGCCUGACAUUGAGAUGGCCAAACUUUUUGGCAUUCCAGUCGAUGACAGAGAUAAGCAGGAGAGGGGCGAAUCUAGUUUGCCUGCUAAUGCUGAUGAAGAAGUAGAUGGACAGUUGAUGGAACAAGCUGCGGAUGAAGUAGAUGAUGCACAUGAUGAUGAGCUGGUGCAUGUGUAUGACAAAGAAAACCCUGUCAUUGAAGUAGGCAAGUUGUUCCCAAGCAUGAAGGAGUUUAGGAUGUGUUUCAAGACUUAUGCAGUGAAACAUGAGUUUGAUGCCAAGACUGUUUGGACUGAUAGAAAGAAGUUUUAUGCGAGGUGCAGAGGAUUUGAUGGUAGUGUGAAGCCUUGCAAGUGGUACAUAUCUGCUAGACUGCAACCUGAUGGAAGUACUGUCAGGGUUAUCCAAAUCCCCAAUCAACAUACUUGUAUUACAAGUUCACAGAGAGUAUCAACCAUGAUAUCACAACUUUUGGUUGCAGAAAAGAUCACCCCAAUUUUAGCCAAAACACCAAACACUACUGCCAAGAAACUCAAGGUAGACUUGGAAAAGAUGUACCCCAUUAAACUGAAAUAUACCACAGUGUGGAAGGCAAAACAAAGGGCAAUGAAAAAUUUAUAUGGUGAUUGGGCAAAUACAUUUAGGAUGCUUUAUAACUUCAAAGCAGAGGUGGAAAAGAGGUCACCUGGCAGUGUUGUGGAGAUAGAUACAGAGGUAUCAGCCGAAGGUGAAGUCAAGUUCUCCAAGUUUUUUAUGGCUUUGAAGCCUUGCAUCGAUGGGUUCAAAGCAGGGUGCCGUCCAUAUUUGAGCAUAGACUCAUCAUUUUUGACAGGCAAGUGGAAUGGUCAGUUGGCAGCAUGCAAUGCUCUAGAUGGACACAACUGGAUGUUUCCUAUUGCUGUUGGCUUGUUUCAGUCAGAAACAGAGGCUUCAUGGACAUGGUUCAUGAUCCAGUUGAAAAGAUGCCUAGGGCCAGUGUCACCUUUGGUUUUCACACUUUUCAUUUUCAAAACCCCACCUACUCUCGGGUGCCCACUACUCUCUCCCUUGAACUCCAUAUUACAUUAUUCGAGGAAUGAAAAUUUUGUGAAGGAUUUUUCGUAA